rnacentral:lncRNA from 1 species
GUGACAUCUCUAGUAAGCUCAUUGUCUUCUGCCGUAUUAAACUUUAAUGGGUAGCUGGUAGACAAUUAACACUCUGGGAGGGCUCAAACCACAUAACCAAAUGUGCCAAGAUAAUCCUGAGCUCACUCAUUGUCAGUCCUGAAGAUUUUCCUCAGAGAAUCUUUCAUCUCUUUGCUCCUGAGACUAUAUAUUAGAGGAUUACAGAGUGGUGUUAUCACAGAAUAGAACAAGUGGAUUUUUAUCUGAGAUCUACAACUUAAGAAGAAUAUAAGUGAUGUAUAUUCUCUUCUACUCUUCAUGUAUGGAAUAGAGGGGCUUGCACAGUAGUAAGAAAAAAAUGGCUUAGACCCACAGGAACAAAGAAACAAGACAGGAGUUAGAUGCAGAGGAGAGAUUUCAACAAAAGUUUGGAAAAGGAACCCAAAGGCAUGGAUUGAUGUUAUGAGUCCUGAUUUUUGAGUUGACUUCUCAUCACCUGGAAGUGAAUAAAGCAGUAGACUUCUCUAACAUUUUGUAACACAGCAUGAAAAAAUAUAAAGUACAAAAG